GAUGAACGCUGGCGGCGUGCCUAAUACAUGCAAGUCGAGCGAACAGACGAGGAGCUUGCUCCUCUGACGUUAGCGGUGGACGGGUGAGUAACACGUGGAUAACCUACCUAUAAGACUGGGAUAACUUCGGGAAACCGGAGCUAAUACCGGAUAACAUGUUGAACCGCAUGGUUCAACAGUGAAAGACGGUCUUGCUGUCACUUAUAGAUGGAUCCGCGCCGCAUUAGCUAGUUGGUAAGGUAACGGCUUACCAAGGCAACGAUGCGUAGCCGACAUGGGAGGGUGAUCGGCCACACUGGAACUGAGACACGGUCCAGACUCCUACGGGAGGCAGCAGUAGGGAAGCUUCCGCAAUGGGCGAAAGCCUGACGGAGCAACGCCGCGUGAGUGAAGAAGGUCUUCGGAUCGUAGAACUCUGUUAUUAGGGAAGAACAAAUGUGUAAGUAACUAUGCACGUCUUGACGGUACCUAAUCAGAAAGCCACGGCUAACUACGUGCCAGCCGCCGCUGUAA
rnacentral:rRNA from 1 species